CUGGCUGAAAUCUGGAGCCCAGAAUGAUCAGCAGUGCCCUAGCCAUGACUGUCUCCUUGCUUGUCUUCCUGUCGGCACUGGGUCUCCCACAGGGUGUCCUGUCCCAGGUGCAGCUGCAGGAGGUGGGCCCAGGAUUGGUGAAACCCUCUCAGACACUCUCCCUCACCUGUACUAUCUCUGGGGACACUGUCUCUAGCACCAGUGCUACUUGGAAUUGGAUCAGGCAGCCCCUGGGGAGAGGUCUCGAGUGGCUCGGAAGGACAUACUACAGGUCCAAGUGGUAUAACGAGUAUGCACCAUCACUUCAAGGUCGGUUGACCAUUUCCCCUGACACAUCCAAGAAUGAAUUCUCCCUGCAGCUGAGCUCUGUGGGCACAGAGGACACAGCUGUGUAUUACUGUGCAAGAGACACAGUGAAUGAACCUCAAAGGAAGCCCAGACACAAACUUCCUUGCAGAGUCACUCGGGACCAGCAGGGUUUGCCCAGGACUUACCAGGGCCACCCUGGACUGACAAGAUUUUGCAGCAAAAGUUGA